CUCUUAUCCAGAGUGACGGAGGGGUCAGGCCCUAUGAAGUCCGGCAACCUUCAAGUGAAAACUUGAAAAGGUGCUAAUUCCUGCAGGUGUAUUUUGCCUGGAAGAUAAGAG
rnacentral:ncRNA from 2 species